GACGUAGGGUGCAAGCGUUGUCCGGAUUUAUUGGGCGUAAAGAGCUCGUAGGCGGUUUGUCGCGUCUGCUGUGAAAACUCGGGGCUCAACUCCGAGCUUGCAGUGGGUACGGGCAGACUAGAGUGCGGUAGGGGAGACUGGAAUUCCUGGUGUAGCGGUGGAAUGCGCAGAUAUCAGGAGGAACACCGGUGGCGAAGGCGGGUCUCUGGGCCGUAACUGACGCUGAGGAGCGAAAGCAUGGGGAGCGAACAGG
rnacentral:rRNA from 1 species